ACAUCAUGUUGAAACACUGGUUCCCAUACAAUCACCAAAGUUAAGCAAUGUUGAGCUUGGUCAAUACCUAGCUGAGUGACAGCUUGGGAAUAUCAACUGCUGUAA